AAGUCGUAACAAGGUUUCCGUAGGUGAACCUGCGGAAGGAUCAUUAAAAAGAUUAUAAAUCAUAAACUUCUUGUGCAUUUGUAUAAGUAUUGGCCUUUCCGGUUGAGGUUUUACAGGGUUUUAGACAUUUAAUAAAUUAGAAAUUUAUUUUUAAUGAUUGGACAAAAAGUUAUUUUGGACAAUAGUUAAAUAUAGGUUUAAUAAUUUUUAUUUUUCUAAGACUUUCUUAACCGGGAGGUUUUGUUAAAACUAUUUUAUUUUUCAACUUUAUAAAGUUAAUAACCUGGGUGCAAUAAUUUUUUUUAUUGUUCACAGUUAAAAUUAUUAAUAAAAAACAACUUUCAACAAUGGAUCUCUUGGCUCUG
rnacentral:misc_RNA from 1 species